rnacentral:rRNA from 1 species
UCCUACGGGGCGCAGCAGUGAGGAAUAUUGGUCAAUGGACGAGAGUCUGAACCAGCCAAGUAGCGUGAAGGAUGACUGCCCUAUGGGUUGUAAACUUCUUUUAUAUGGGAAUAAAGUUUUCCACGUGUGGAAUUUUGUAUGUACCAUAUGAAUAAGGAUCGGCUAACUCCGUGCCAGCAGCCGCGGUAAUACGGAGGAUCCGUGCGUUAUCCGGAUUUAUUGGGUUUAAAGGGAGCGUGGGUGGGUUGUUAAGUCAGUUGUG